UGGUUGCCCCGGUCGUAAGGGACUGCAAAUGAGCGGGAAGUGAAUUUGGAAGAAGGCGAGAAAAGCUGUGUGAAUAGAAGAUAGAGCCCGUACCGCAAACCGACACAGGUAGAUAGGAAGAAGAUUCUAAGGCCAACGGGAGAAGGGUUGUUAAGGAACUCGGCAAGUUGACCCCGUAACUUAGGGAGAAGGGGUGCUCUUUAAGGAGAGCCGCAGAGAAUAGGCCCAAGCGACUGUUUAGCAAAAACACAGCUCUAUGCUAAAUCGAAAGAUGACGUAUAUGGGGUGACACCUGCCCGGUGCCGGAAGGUUAAGAGGAGGAGUGAGAGCUCUGAAUUGAAGCCCCGGUAAACGGCGGCCGUAACAAUAACGGUCCUAAGGUAGCGAAAUUCCUUGUCAGGUAAGUUCUGACCCGCACGAAUGGUGUAACGAUUUGGGCACUGUCUCAACAACCUGCCCGGCGAAAUUGUAGUACCGGUGAAGAUGCCGGUUACCCGCGACUAGACGGAAAGACCCCAUGGAGCUUUACUGCAGCUUAAUAUUGAAUUUCGGUAUUUCAUGUACAGGAUAGGUGGGAGACAGGGAACCAUAGGCGUCAGCUUAUGGGGAGACGACCUUGGGAUACCACUCUUGAGGUGCUGGAAUUCUAACCUGUGGCUCUGAAUCGAGUCAGGGGACAUUGUUAGGCGGGCAGUUUGACUGGGGCGGUCGCCUCCAAAAAGGUAACGGAGGCGCUCAAAGGUUCGCUCAGCAUGGAUGGAAACCAUGCUUUUGAGUGUAAACGCAAAAGCGAGCCUAACUGCGAGACUGACGGGUCGAGCAGUAACGAAAGUUGGAGUUAGUGAUCCGGCGGUAUGUGAGUGGAAAUGCCGUCGCUCAACGGAUAAAAGCUACCCUGGGGAUAACAGGCUGAUCUCCCCCAAGAGUCCACAUCGACGGGGAGGUUUGGCACCUCGAUGUCGGCUCAUCGCAUCCUGGGGCUGAAUUCGGUCCCAAGGGUUUGGCUGUUCGCCAAUUAAAGCGGUACGCGAGCUGGGUUCAGAACGUCGUGAGACAGUUCGGUCCCUAUCUGUCGUGGGCGUAGGAUAUUUGAAAGGAGCUGUCCCUAGUACGAGAGGACCGGGAUGGACGCACCGCUGGUGCACCAGUUGUCAUGCCAAUGGCACAGCUGGGCAGCUAUGUGCGGAACGGAUAAACGCUGAGGGCAUCUAAGCGUGAAGCCGACCUUAAGAUAAGAUAUCCCUUCGUAAGAGUAAGACCUCUCAUAGACUAUGAGUUUGAUAGGCCUAAGGUGUAAGCACAGUGAUGUGUUCAGCCUGCAGGUACUAAUCGGUCGAGGGCUUUUCC
rnacentral:rRNA from 1 species